rnacentral:rRNA from 1 species
AGGCCUAACACAUGCAAGUCGUACGGCAGCACAGUUGCGAGCAAUCGCAACCGGUGGCGAGUGGCGCACGGGUGAGUAACGCGUAUGUAACCUACCCUUCUCCAGGACAUAACUCCGCGAAAGCGUGCUAAUAUCCUAUAUCAACACUUGAAGACAUCUUCUUGUGUUGAAAGUAGCAAUGCGGUGAAGGAUGGGCAUGCGUCCCAUUAGCUGGUUGGUGAGGUAAUGGCCCACCAAGGCUACGAUGGGUAGGGGUUCUGAGAGGAAAGUCCCCCACACUGGUACUGAGACACGGACCAGACUCCUACGGGAGGCAGCAGUAGGGAAUAUUAGUAAUGGGCGAAAGCUGAACUAGCAACGCCGCGUGUGCGAAGAAGGCCUUCGGGUCGUAAAGCACUUUUUGAGAGGAUGAGGAAGGACGGUACUCUCAGAAUAAGUCUCGGCUAACUACGUGCCAGCAGCCGCGGUAACACGUAGGAGGCAAACGUUAUCCGGAUUUACUGGGCGUAAAGCGCGUGUAGGUGGUUUGGUAAGUAGGGCGUGAAAGCUCCUGGCUCAACUGGGAGAGGACGUUCUAAACUGCCAAGCUUGAGGAUGGUAGAGGGAGGUGGAAUUCCGGGUGUAGCGGUGGAAUGCGCAGAUAUCCGGAGGAACACCAGUGGCGAAGGCGGCCUCCUGGACCACUCCUGACACUCAGACGCGAAAGCUAGGGUAGCAAACGGGAUUAGAGACCCCGGUAGUCCUAGCCCUAAACGAUGAUCACUCGCUGUUGGCGAUAUAUUGUCAGUGGCUAAGCAAAAGUGAUAAGUGAUCCACCUGGGGAGUACGACCGCAAGGUUGAAACUCAAAGGAAUUGACGGGGGCCCGCACAAGCGGAGGAGCAUGUGGUUUAAUUCGAUGAUACGCGAGGAACCUUACCAGGGCUCGAACGCAGGAGGAAUACUCCCGAAAGGAAGUAGCCAGAAAUGGCCGCCUGCGAGGUGCUGCAUGGUUGUCGUCAGCUCGUGCCGUGAGGUGUCAGGUUAAGUCCUAUAACGAGCGCAACCCCUAUUCAUAGUUGCCAGCAUAUUACGGUGGGGACUCUAUGAAAACUGCCUGCGCAAGCAGUGAGGAAGGUGGGGAUGACGUCAAAUCAGCACGGCCCUUAUGUCCUGGGCUACACACGUGCUACAAUGGCCGGUACAGAAGGCCGCAACCACGCAAGUGGAAGCUAAUCCCUAAAACCGGUCUCAGUUCGGAUUGGAGUCUGCAACCCGACUCCAUGAAGCCGGAUUCGCUAGUAAUCGCACAUCAGCCAUGGCGCGGUGAAUACGUUCCCGGGCCUUGUACACACCGCCCGUC